GACGUAGGGCGCGAGCGUUGUCCGGAUUUACUGGGCGUAAAGGGCGCGUAGGCGGCCACUGCAAGUCGGUUGUGAAAUCUCCGGGCUUAACCCGGAAAGGUCAAUCGAUACUGCAGGGCUAGAGUGCAGAAGGGGCAACUGGAAUUCUCGGUGUAGCGGUGAAAUGCGUAGAUAUCAGGAGGAACACCGAUGGCGAAGGCAGGUCUCUGGGCUGACACUGACGCUCAUGCACGAAAGCGUGGGGAGCAAACAGG
rnacentral:rRNA from 1 species